GAGGUUGUGGCUCAGUGGUAGAGCUCUUGCCUAGCAUGUAAAGGGCCCUGGGUUUGAUUCUCAGCACCACA
rfam:Ictidomys tridecemlineatus contig102863, whole genome shotgun sequence.